rnacentral:rRNA from 1 species
AUUGAACGCUAGCUACAGGCUUAAAACAUGCAAGUCGAGGGACCGGCGCACGGGUGAGUAACACGUAUCCAACCCGCUCUUUACUCGGGGAUAACCUUUCGAAAGAAAGAUUAAUAACCGAUAUAAAGGAUGGGGAUGAGUUGCAUUAGGUUGUGGGUAAGGUAACGGCUCGCCAAGCCAUCGAUGGGUAGGGUUUCUGAGAGGAAGUGCCCCCACAUUGAAACUGCGACACGGUCCAAACUCGUACAGGAGGCAGCAGUGAGUAAUAUUGGGCAAUUGGCGCUAGGCUGAACCAGCCAAGUAGCGUGAAGGAUGAAGGCUUAUGUAUCUUAAACUUCUUUUAUAUAAGAAUAUGUAUUAUAUGAAUAAGGAUCGGCUAACUCCGUGCCAGCAGCCGCGGUAAUAC